AUCUAUCGCUGCUAAUCUAUCUAUCGCUGCUAAUCUAUCGCCGCUGCCAAUCUAUCCCUCACUGCUAAGCUAUCCCUCGCUGCUAAGCUAUCCCUCGCUGCUAAGCUAUCGCCGCUGCCAACCUAUCUAUUGCUGCAAGCUAUCCCUCGCUGCUAAGCUAUCGCUGCCAACCUAUCUAUCGCUGCCAACCUAUCUAUCGCUGCCAAUUUAUCUACCACUGCCAAUCUAUCUAUCGCUGCUAAUCUAUCUAUCGCUGCUAAUCUAUCGCCGCUGCCAAUCUAUCCCUCACUGCUAAGCUAUCCCUCGCUGCUAAGCUAUCACUGCCAAUCUAUCGCUGCUAAUCUAUCGCUGCCAACCUAUCUACCGCGGCGAAUCUAUCUAUCGCUGCCAAUUUAUCUACCACUGCCAAUCUAUCUAUCGCUGCCAAUCUAUUGCUGCUAAUCUAUCGCUGCUAAUCUAUCGCUGCUAAUCUAUCGCUGCUAAUCUAUCGCUGCCAACCUAUCUACCGCGGCGAAUCUAUCUAUCACUAUCAUUACUAGUUCAAAAUAGAACUAGAGCAUAAAUACACUAAACUUCUUUUGAUAGGUAAUGAUUUUUGGUAACGCUCAUAGCAUUAUAUCAUCUAUAUAGGGUAAAUCAUGGUCCCAUUUGGUCCCAUUUUAACAAAAUGGGACCAAAUGGGACCAGAAUCAGUAAUUUAUAAGAAGAACAUGACCUGGGACUAGAUUUAUAAUAUAAACAGUGUAAAGUGACUAAUUUAAUAAACACUAUAUGGGACCAGGACUAAGAAAUUUGAUAAUGGGACUGG
rnacentral:sRNA from 1 species